rnacentral:rRNA from 1 species
GACGAACGCUGGCGGCGUGCUUAACACAUGCAAGUCGAGCGAUGAAGUUUCUUCGGAAAUGGAUUAGCGGCGAACGGGUGAGGAACACGUGAAGAAUCUGCCCUCCACUUUGGGAUAACACCGGGAAACCGGUGCUAAUACCGAAUAUUGAAACAUAAGUGGCAUCACUGAGUUUUGAAAGAAUUGCGGUGGAGGAUGACUUCGCGGCCUAUCAGCUAGUUGGUGAGGUAAUGGCUCACCAAGGCAACGACGGGUAGCCGGCCUGAGAGGGCGACCGGCCACACUGGGACUGAGACACGGCCCAGACUCCUACGGGAGGCAGCAGUGGGGAAUAUUGGGCAAUGGAGGGAACUCUGACCCAGCGACGCCGCGUGCGGGAUGAAGGCCUUCGGGUUGUAAACCGCUUUCAGUAGGGAAGAAGCGAAAGUGACGGUACCUACAAAAGAAGCACCGGCUAACUAUGUGCCAGCCGCCGCCGUAA